GCUCCCGUAGUCUAGCCCGGUCAAACCGAGCCGAUAGGAUAGCGGCCUCUCACGCCGCGGACUCGGGUUCAAAUCCCGACGGGAGCA
rnacentral:tRNA from 1 species